rnacentral:rRNA from 1 species
UCAUAGCGGAGGAAAAGAAAAUAACAAUGAUUCCCCUAGUAACGGSGAGUGAAGAGGGAAAAGCUCAAGUUUGGAAGCUUCGUGGCAUAGCUACGACGCGUUGUAAACUGAAGUUUUUUGGGUGAUUGGGCGACCGGAUAAAUAAGUCCUUUGGAAAGGGGCAACAUAGAGGGUGACAUUCCCGUCUUUGGUCCGAGUCAGUGCAGUCGCUACCCAGGAAACGACGAGUCAGGUUGUUUGGGAAUGCAGCCUAAAAUGGGAGGUAAAUCUCUCCUAAAGCUAAAUACUGGCGUAAGACCGAUAGCGAACAAGUACCGUGAGGGAAAGAUGAAAAGGACUUUGAAAAGAGGGUCAAAUAGUACGUGAAAUUGUUGAAAGGGAACCGUAUGAAAGUAGACUGGCUUGGUGAUGAUCAAUGUGUGUUUCGGCACGCAUGCACUCAUUGCCUUUGCCAGCCAGCGGCAGUUUUUGCUAAAGGAAGAAAAUCAGGGGAAUGUGGCUUCGAUUUCGGUUGAAGUGUUAUAGCUCCUGGUAAAAUACUUUGGCAGAGACUGAGGCUAGCAGUGGGUUUUUGGGAACUUUGCGCGCUUGUCGUCCAAUGGUCAAGUUUUCUUCGGAUGCUUGGUUAUUGGGUGGCAACUCGUGUGAUGCUUCACCCUCCCGCUUAGGUCGCUGGCGUAAUGCUUUUAUAUGACCCGUCUUGAAACACGGACCAAGGAGUCCACGUAUAGAGCGAGUCGUUGGGUGGCAAACCCAAAGGCGAAGUGAAAGCGAUUGGGAAGAAACUGUAACAGGUGGCACUCCCGGGGGGAUAUGACGUUUUAUACAGAUUGACCUCACCCAAAGCUCUAUGCAUGGGACCCGAAAGAUGGUGAACUAUACUUGAAUAGGGUGAAGCCAGAGGAAACUCUGGUGGAGGCUCGUAGCGAUUCUGACGUGCAAAUCGAUCGUCGAAUUUGAGUAUAGGGGCG